rnacentral:rRNA from 1 species
AUUCCAGCUCCAAUAGCGUAUAUUAAAGUUGCUGCAGUUAAAAAGCUCGUAGUUGGAUCUCGGGUAUCGUCUAGGCGGUCCUGCUCACGCAGGCACUGCUCUGACGACCUAACUGGAAGUAUUCGACCCCGAGUGCCCUUCAUUGGGUGCACGUGGGUGGCUUCUGCGUUUACUGUGAAAAAAUUAGAGUGUUCAAAGCAGGCUUAUAUUGCUCGAAUAGUCGUGCAUGGAAUAAUGGAAGAUGACACUGGCGCAUUUCCGUUGGUCUCUGUGACUGGUGUAAUGAUUAAGAGGGACUGCCGGGGGCAUUGGUAUGGCGGGGUUAGAGGUGAAAUUCUUGGAUCCUCGCCAGACCAACAAAAGCGAAAGCAUUUGCCAAGAAUGUCUUCAUUA